GCAGUCAAUUAGUCAAAAUCCUUUCCCUACAAUCACUUGAGCUUUUAAAAAUUGUUCACUUCCCAAAAGCAAUUCAAUUUCAAUCCAAAUCCCAAUCCCACCAUCACCAUUUCUCAAAGCACAGAAGAAUCCGAUUCUCUCGUAAUUUUUCCACGCAAUUCCGCAAAGAUCCAAGCCAUCCGAAGCUACCCAACUCUGCAAAUUGUACCAGCAGCUUGCUUUGAAUUGGGAAGAUGGAGGGGACUGUGUUCGCUCCUGCCUUGGAAGGAUUCAAGACUGUCAAGUCUGAUGCAGGAGAGAUUCUGACCAA